rnacentral:rRNA from 1 species
GUGCCAGCAGCCGCGGUAAUACGGAGGAGGCAAGCGUUAUCCGGAAUUAUUGGGCGUAAAGCGUCCGUAGGUGGUUUAGUAAGUCUGCUGUUAAAGCGCGGGGCUUAACUCCGUAUCGGCAGUGGAAACUACUAGACUAGAGUGUGGUAGGGGUAGAGGGAAUUCCCAGUGUAGCGGUGAAAUGCGUAGAUAUUGGGAAGAACACCGGUGGCGAAGGCGCUCUACUGGGCCAUAACUGACACUGAUGGACGAAAGCUAGGGGAGCGAAAGGGAUUAGAUACCCCUGUAGUCC